rnacentral:lncRNA from 1 species
CACAUGUACACAUAUGUAACUAACCUGCACAUUGUGCACAUGUACCCUAAAACUUAAAGUGUAAUAAUAAUAAAAUAAAAAAAACAUAAGCAAUAGAGAAAAAACCACUAUGUUAAAAUAACAAUAUAUGUGUGUCAUGCUGUUUUGGUUACUGUAGCCUUGUCGUAUAGUUUGAAGUCAGGUAGUGUGAUGCCUCCAGCUUUGUUCUUUUGGCUUAGGAUUGACUUGGUGAUGCGGGCUCCUUUUUGGUUCCAUAUGAACUUUAAAAUAGUUUUUUCCAAUUCUGUGAAGAAAGUCUUUGGUAGCUUGAUGGGGAUGGCAUUGAAUCUGUAAAUUACCUUGGGCAGUAUGGCCAUUUUCACGAUAUUGAUUCUUCCUACCCAUGAGCAUGGAGUGUUCUUCCAUUUGUUUGUAUCCUCUUUUAUUUCCUU